rnacentral:rRNA from 1 species
GACGAACGCUGGCGGCGUGCUUAACACAUGCAAGUCGAGCGGUAAGGCCCUUUCGGGGGUACGACGAGCGGCGAACGGGUGAGUAACACGUGGGUGACCUGCCCUUAGCUCUGGGAUAAGCCUGGGAAACUGGGUCUAAUACCGGAUAUGACUCCAUGACGCAUGUUGUGGGGUGGAAAGCCUUGUGCGGCUAGGGAUGGGCCCGCGGCCUAUCAGCUUGUUGGUGGGGUGAUGGCCACCAAGGCGACGACGGGUAGCCGGCCUGAGAGGGCGACCGGCCACACUGGGACUGAGAUACGGCCCAGACUCCUACGGGAGGCAGCAGUGGGGAAUCUUGCGCAAUGGGCGAAAGCCUGACGCAGCGACGCCGCGUGAGGGAUGACGGCCU